AUUUAAUGUUGUAUGCAUCUAGUAAUAAGAUAAUUAAAUCACUCCCAGUAUUCACACAGUGUUUCACCAUGUUGUUGCUGUAUGCUAGAGAUUUUAUUUCUUAAAGU